rnacentral:misc_RNA from 1 species
GAAAUGCGAUAAGUAAUGUGAAUUGCAGAAUUCAGUGAAUCAUCGAAUCUUUGAACGCAUAUUGCGCCCGCCAGUAUUCUGGCGGGCAUGCCUGUUCGAGCGUCAUUUCAACCAUCAAGCCCCCGGCUUGUGUUGGGGACCUGCGGCUGCCCGCAGGCCCUGAAAAACAGUGGCGGGCUCGCUGUCACACCGAGCGUAGUAGCAUACAUUCUCGCUCAGGGCGUGCUGCGGGUUCCGGCCGUUAAACGACCUUCAUAACCCAAGGUUGACCUCGGAUCAGGUAGGAAGACCCGCCGAACUUAAGC